AUGGCAGCGAGUGACCAUGCAAGACACUGACAUAACCAUCUGGUUCAGUGUCUUGCUCAAGGACACGUCCACAUGUAGACAUCAAACCAUCAACUCUGCAAUUAGUUGAAGACCACUCAAACUCCUGAGCCACAGCUGCCCACACUUAACUAUUCAUCUGGUCCUGCAGGGAAACACUUUCAAGCUCCUUCAUGUUGAAUGGAUACGAGCUACAUCUGAGGUAUCUCAGUCAUGAAAUACUUCAACGCCUCCCUGUGAAAGAAUUCUAAGCACCUCUAACCAGGACCAGAGCCUGUGGCAGACCCACUGGAGGGAUUACUUACAGUAUCCCAUCUAGUCUGGCUAUGUUAGCCUGGGGUUUACUGGCUUGAUGCAGAUAGAGGGAGCCAGGGACUGAAGAAAACGACCCUGUAAUUAAUGGAGGAACGCUUUAGCACACGAGCUAUUGUCCAGGAUAUAAUGUGGAAGAAAAGUUAAGUAUGAACAUCCGACUUGCAAAGAAUGUUAACUACUGUAGGCUCUGUAAACAAUUACAAUAUGGCUGUUUCAUAUCACUUAUUUAAUAAUUCAAAGAUCAUUUAUUACUUUUCUUACUCUGUUUUUUUCAUACUGAGCUUUAGGUGUCUACACCAGAGAAGACCCAGUGAGUUCAACAGUCGAGAGGAUGAGGAGGGCCGUCCCAUCCCAACCUGCACAGAGGAAGUUGUCACUAUUUGCUUCUUCUGUGCUGGUGGGUUUGGGAAGCUCCUCACACACACACAGAUGUUUUUCUCCAGCUGUGGAUGGUCACACCAGAUGAAGGUGGAGCUGUGGAGGCUGGAGCACUUCCCCCUGAUGACCACUGGACAAACUAGAGAGCAGUAGUAAACUCAAAUGUCCAGACCUACAAGCAGCUGAGAGCAGACGUCAACCAACCAAUCAUCCCAUGAAGACCCAGAACCACAGCAGACCUCUGAACCAGUCCCAGCACCCUGCUUCCCAAACAACAACCCCCCCUCCUCCCUCUCCCCCACCCUCCUUCCUCCUCUUUCUCCCCUCCACUGUCUCAAGCUGCCUCCUCAACAGCCAAGAGGAUGAGGAGGACCAUCUCGAUUCCACCUGCACAGAGGAAGCUGUCACCAUCUGCUUCUUCUGUGCUGAUGGGUCUAGGAAGCUCCUCACACACACACACACCCACACACACACACACACACACACACACACAGUAUUUUUAGGGCCUUGGCUUUGUCACAUUAAAUACAGCAUAUUACUGUAAUACAAUGCAACACAUUAAGACAAACUUUCUAAAUAUUUCUUUAUAAUAUUCAAAAAUAUGGUCAUAUUUAAACUUUUAACUGUGAUUUUUAAUACGUUAGUAUGUAUAAUGUUUAAUAUACAGCACAAAUAUUACAUGUUGAUAUUAAAAAAUGCUGUAAUACUGAUCAGGAUAUGAACUUUGUCCAUAUCACCACACAUAAUUGAAGUGUUUAUUAGUGAUAAUAGAUCAUACAUUCAUUCCUAUUGUUCAUAUGUGUCACAAUGUUUUACAGUUUGACUGGUUUGUUGUUGAAUUCAAUAAAAUCAUCACAUGUGAAAUGA